AAAAUUUCCUUAAAUGUCUGCAGAGAAAAGAGAAAAUGGUCAUGUCUCAGUAAAUCUGUGAUAGAUGCUACAGGGAAAGCUGCUCCUGCCCAGAAGGCUGAAACCAAGGAAGUGUCUGCUCCAGACCAGCCCAAACACACAAUCCCAAAUUUUGGUAAAAGUUCCUAUCAGCCCUGUGUACAGCCAGCUGUGCCAAGAACAUAGUAUGCUAUUCCCAAAGCUGAGUUGGGAUGAGGAAUGAGGGAUAGUGGCUGGUUUGUACUAUUCACUUAUGAAUGAUCACCAGCGUCUCCCUGGAUUGCUCCUGUAUUUGUUUUAGGUGUACAGUCAGGUUCUAGAGAUCCAAAGUAGUUGGUUUCAAUCAUUUUUUCCCACUCAAUGGUUGCUUGGGUGGAAGUACUUAUACCUAGAACUUCUUGCCACACCAUUUCGCCUAAAGUCUCUGUCUUCAUCUGUAUUUUUUCUUUUUUAAAAAUUUGUUAUUUCAUCUGUUUUUUUUAUGUCAGAUUUACAAGGAUCUUGUAACUUUAAAAUUAUAAAAAUAAAUGUUCGGUAUUCUUGUAAUUUAUUUUUACAUUAAAUUUUUUAUUAAAUAAUUUUUAAAUUUAAGACUUUAUCUUGUAUUAACGUUUAUGUAUGAUGAGGGGUAGGUGGCUCCCCAAAUUUUUAUUUUUAUGUUGGAAUUUCUUUCGGUGUGAGACAAGAAUUCAAAGUAAUAUUUCUCAGUUGCUUCCCAGUUGUUUUAUACUACUUUUCUGAAAAAUUUAUAUACCCUAUUGAAAUUUCAUUGUAUACUAAAUUCCUUGAUAUAUUGGGUCUGUUUCAGACUUUUUUUGUCUGUUUGGUCCGUCUUUUCUUAUUCCCUACCUCACUGUUUUAUUUAUUGUAGCUUCAUAAUAUGCCAGUUUCUUCUGUUACUCAUCUCUUUUUAGAAUUUUCCUGUUCUUGGCUGGGCGUCAUGGCUCACGCUUACAAUCCCAGCACUUUGGGACGCCAAGGCAGGCAGAUCACUUGAGGUCAGGAGUUGGAGACCAGCCUGGCCAACAUGGUGAAACCCUGUCUCUACUAAAAAUACAAAAAGUUAGCUGGGCAUGGUGGCAGGCGCCUGUAAUCCUAGCUACUUGGGAGGCUGAGGGACAAGAAUCACUUGAACCCAGGAGGUGAAGUUUGCAGUGAGCCAAGAUUGUGUCACUGCACUCCAGCCUGGGUGACAGAGCGAGACUCCAUCUC
rnacentral:lncRNA from 1 species